UACGGAGGGUGCGAGCGUUGUCCGGAAUCACUGGGCGUAAAGGGCGCGUAGGCGGCCUGAUAAGUAGGGGGUGAAAUCCUGCGGCUUAACCGCAGGGCUGCCUUCUAAACUGUCGGGCUAGAGCACGGUAGAGGCAGAUGGAAUUCCCGGUGUAGAGGUGAAAUUCGUAGAUAUUCGGAAGAACACCAGUGGCGAAGGACUGCUGCCGUGGCCGGUACUGACGCUGGUAGUGAACGCGGGAAAGCAAGUAGGGGGA
rnacentral:rRNA from 1 species